rnacentral:rRNA from 1 species
UACGUAGGGGGCGAGCGUUAUCCGGAUUCACUGGGUGUAAAGGGAGCGUAGACGGCCAUGCAAGCCAGGGGUGAAAGCCCGGGGCCCAACCCCGGGACUGCCCUUGGAACUGCAUGGCUGGAGUGCGGGAGGGGCAGGCGGAAUUCCUGGUGUAGCGGUGAAAUGCGUAGAUAUCAGGAGGAACACCGGUGGCGAAGGCGGCCUGCUGGACCGCGACUGACGUUGAGGCUCGAAAGCGUGGGGAGCGAACAGG